rnacentral:rRNA from 1 species
UACCGAGGCCUCGAGCGUUAGGCGGAAUCACUGGGCUUAAAGCGUGUGUAGGUGGAUGCCUAAGUACCUUGUGAAAUCCCACGGCUUAACCGUGGAACUGCUGGGUAUACUGGGUGUCUUGAGCCACUCAGGGGCUACCGGAACAAACGGUGGAGCGGUGAAAUGCGUAGAUAUCGUUUGGAACGCCAAUGGUGAAAACAGGUAGCUGGGGGUGUGCUGACACUGAGACACGAAAGCCAGGGGAGCAAACGGG